AGUGAAUUUGGUGAGGAGUCGAUUGAGAGGAUUAAAUCCUCUCAAAGAGGCUGAAUACUACGUGAGGCUGGCUAAAGACAAGGAAAGCAUCACUUGGAAAUAUAUCAGUCAAACUAAAGGACGAGGUGUGUUUGCAAAAGACCCUAUUACAAAAGGGUCAUUCAUUGUUGAAUACCGUGGUGUUUUAAGCAAGAUAACGCACUCUUUUGAACCAACAACUGAAUACACAUAUAUUUUUAAGCACAAUGGAAAUGAAUACUGCAUUGAUGCAUCAGCAGAGGAUGGAUCGCUUGG